rnacentral:rRNA from 1 species
AGAGUUUGAUCAUGGCUCAGGACGAACGCUGGCGGCGUGCUUAACACAUGCAAGUCGAACGGAAAGGCCCUUCGGGGUACUCGAGUGGCGAACGGGUGAGUAACACGUGGGUGAUCUGCCCUGCACUUUGGGAUAAGCCUGGGAAACUGGGUCUAAUACCGAAUAGGACCACGCGCUUCAUGGUGUGUGGUGGAAAGCUUUUGCGGUGUGGGAUGGGCCCGCGGCCUAUCAGCUUGUUGGUGGGGUAAUGGCCUACCAAGGCGACGACGGGUAGCCGGCCUGAGAGGGUGACCGGCCACACUGGGACUGAGAUACGGCCCAGACUCCUACGGGAGGCAGCAGUGGGGAAUAUUGCACAAUGGGCGCAAGCCUGAUGCAGCGACGCCGCGUGAGGGAUGACGGCCUUCGGGUUGUAAACCUCUUUCACCAGGGACGAAGCGUAAGUGACGGUACCUGGAGAAGAAGCACCGGCCAACUACGUGCCAGCAGCCGCGGUAAUACGUAGGGUGCGAGCGUUGUCCGGAAUUACUGGGCGUAAAGAGCUCGUAGGUGGUUUGUCGCGUUGUUCGUGAAAACUCACAGCUUAACUGUGGGCGUGCGGGCGAUACGGGCAGACUAGAGUACUGCAGGGGAGACUGGAAUUCCUGGUGUAGCGGUGGAAUGCGCAGAUAUCAGGAGGAACACCGGUGGCGAAGGCGGGUCUCUGGGCAGUAACUGACGCUGAGGAGCGAAAGCGUGGGGAGCGAACAGGAUUAGAUACCCUGGUAGU